GAUGAACGCUGGCGGCGUGCCUAAUACAUGCAAGUCGAGCGAACAGACGAGGAACUUGCUCCUCUGACGUUAGCGGCGGACGGGUGAGUAACACGUGGAUAACCUACCUAUAAGACUGGGAUAACUUCGGGAAACCGGAGCUAAUACCGGAUAAUAUAUUGAACCGCAUGGUUCAAUAGUGAAAGACGGUUUUGCUGUCACUUAUAGAUGGAUCCGCGCCGCAUUAGCUAGUUGGUAAGGUAACGGCUUACCAAGGCAACGAUGCGUAGCCGACCUGAGAGGGUGAUCGGCCACACGGGAACUGAGACACGGUCCAGACUCCUACGGGAGGCAGCAGUAGGGAAUCUUCCGCAAUGGGCGAAAGCCUGACGGAGCAACGCCGCGUGAGUGAUGAAGGUCUUCGGAUCGUAAAACUCUGUUAUUAGGGAAGAACAAAUGUGUAAGUAACUAUGCACGUCUUGACGGUACCUAAUCAGAAAGCCACGGCUAACUACGUG
rnacentral:rRNA from 1 species